rnacentral:lncRNA from 1 species
CAAGAAUAUUCAUUUGGUGGCUUAACUUUUUCUCUUUCUUUCUACAUCUGGAAAUCGUUCUUAAAGAUCUAUGGAGAAUUGAGUAUAAAUUGUGGGAAAUCAGUUCUCUUUUUUAGCUAAACUUCAAAUUCUGGCGAUUUGUUCUCUGUAUAUAUCUACCAUUCAUUCUCUCUCUCAGCAAGUACCAGUAAACGCAUGGCUGCUUGAAAGCCUCAGAUCUACUAAUCUGAGCACAAAGUGGAUCCUAGAAAGGCAAAUUAAGAAAAAAAAAAAAAGAAAAGGUAAAAUUCAACAAUCUAUCAUUUAAGGUUGUGUGAUCUCAAUGGAAAUAUUUUGAGGCUUUUUUGCGUUUUUGUUUUCACUUUCUUCAUUAAUUUCCUCUCUUCUAACUGCUGUCCAAUGUAUUGAUCCCCUAUAGACAAAUCCUUGAAAAUUUAUUUCUUAAAAAUAUGCAACUUAACUUCAAUAUAUGUGUCCUCUCUAUUCAAAUUACUGAGUUACGAUUUUGCUCAAAUAUGUUUUACAUGGCUUUCAAACCAUUCUUAAUUCGUAAAAGAAUUGACUAAAAAUCUUCAAAUUGAUUUUUUUUUUUUUUCUCCAGACGUGGUUCAAAUUAUACUGAUUGCUCGAUUGUCAUCUGAGUUUUUUCAAUGUUUGAACAUUGUUACAAAUCCUGUAAGUUGAUCCUUUGAUUAGCUUUCUUUCUUUUUUUUCCCAUUUAUUUUUUUUUUUUCAACCCUUUUUUUUUUUUUUUUUUUUCCGUAUUUCUCUUUUUUGUAAUACCAAACAAAGAAUUUAGAUAUGUGAAUCAAUGCACGAUAAUGCUUAUAAGUGUAUCCAGAUCUAUUAAGUUAUUAAUAGGCUUUGUACCUUUUUUCCAAGUACUAAUAACCUAAGAUGAGUAAUAGAAUAUUAUCUAAGUAAAUGUACUAAAUAAUUCGUAUAAGUUACAGAAGAGGAAGGAAAGGGAAAUUCAAAGCUAUCACAUCUAUGUUCCAUCUUAAAAGUUUUGUCUUGAUGAAUGAUUUAUGCUACAUUGAUUCUUCUUAUGAAAGUAAUCUUUCAUUCAGAUUUGGAGUUUAUUGUUCAUUCAAAUAAUUUGAUCAUAACAGCUAUAGUUUGGUUGAGUCUUAACAUGAAAAAUAGAUAUCAUAGGUCACGAGGAUGAGGUAACUAUUGCUAAGUUAGUUGCCCCACAGUGGGAACAACCAGCUGGGCCUAUAUGGUGGUGUCAUCUUUUUGUAGGUCACCCUUCUGUGGAUGCAUGGCUGAACAAUGCCUUGUAGUUACAUCCUGCGCUUAGUGCUGCUUUGAGAGAUGGAAGUAGAUUGACGAGUGAUACGAUGAAACACACUUUAUGUGAGGUAUAUUUCCCGAAAAUUCUAUUACAUUUCUUGAUUAUAGAUGUAACUUUUUAUUUUUGAAUUCCAGAUAGUUGUCUACUGAAUCUAUGUGAUGAAAUUUACUAUCCAUAAUCUAGGUCACCUUCACCCAUGUUUACAUGCAUGUUUUCCAAGUGUUUC